UCCCACAAACCAAGAUUUAAAAAAAAAAAAUUUAGAAUUAACAUUUUUUCGCGUUUGCUUACUUCGUGAUCUACUAUUUUAAAAUAGAGCUCGCAUAGAGCCAUCAUUUUCAAUACUUAAGUAGUGAUCGGUAGGGAGCUCAUAGUCCACGGGUAUUUUUGAGCUUUUUGAGCAUGCGUGUGUUUCACACAGACUUGCUACAAUUAUUAUACUGUAGCAACGAAACCAUUACCAGUUGCUUUCUGACUACCAUCGUAUAGGGGGAGUAAAGAAACUAUCAGCUGAUAAGAUGUAAACAAAGCGACAGCUAAGGGGUUUAAAAAUGUCAAUAAGAGUUCGGGGUUGAAUUUCUAUUGGCAUCCAAGAUGGCCGACUUUUGACCGGAAAAUUAUUGCAUCUGGUUAUUUUCUUAAAAUUUAUGGAAAAGUUGUUCCAAAAAUAUUAGAUAUUAAUUAAGAUUUAUAUUCAUGUCUCUUUUUAACUGUGGCAAAUAAAUAAAACCACAGAAAAAUGUAUGGGGCAAAUAAUAACAAAUUUCAAAGAUUUCCACCACCUUGCGUUUACAAAAACAAGUAUUUAACAAGUAAUGAAGGGCUAAGUUCGGAUGUAACCGAAAAUUGCAUACUGUUGCAACUCGCCAGGAUCAAAGCCAAGGGAAUACUUUAAGGUACAUAAGGUUUGUUAGAACAACGAAAAUCAAUAUAUAUGUAGUAUAUAGUAGUUUUGGUAAUUUGUGGACCAAUUGCAUAUAUAAUAUAACUCGAUUAGAUGGAGGCGAUAUAAACAACCGUUAGGUGAACAAUACUAUUAUACUCUGAGGCAACCUUUUGAAAAAGUAAAGAAAUAUAGCCUUAAUCGUGGACAUGCCAGAUGGAUGGAAAAGAAUUCUGAAUUUUUCGAUUUAGCCCAUUUUAUCUAAACACGACGCUAUCAAAAUACACCCCAAUCGGUAGUCGUAGUAUUUCAAAAGAGCAUAAGUCAACUUGCAAUAGCAAACCACUGCAAAAAGGAAAACGAGACAACAUAGCCAACCGACAUUGUCGCAAAAUUGUCGAUUCAAACAAAUUUUGUCAACUCCGCGACGAUGCGCUAAAUUCAAUAUGUAUGCGAGCUCAUAUCUAUGUAUGUAUAUACAUAUGUACAUAUGUUUGUGGACAAAGUCGUCAUUUGGUUUUUUUCAACAACACAAUGUCCGCGCGAACUCGCAGUUAUUUCGUUGGCUUGCCACCAUGUACAGAGGCGUGUCAAGUGAGGACUCAUAAUAUAUUAAUAUGUUGCUUAAUUUGUAUUGAAAAAUACUAAUGCAUUAAUGACUUAUUUUCGUAAUAUAAUUAAUAUAUGUAUACGUAAAAAUAUAAAUACACAUAAAUUCAUACUUAUUUAAAUGCUUUUAAAAUAAAUUCGAUUAUAAAAAUAUAUCUGAAAUAAUUAUGUGUAUCAAUAUCUAAAAUACAUAACAAUGAGCAAACUAUUAAUAUCACAAUGAUAUUAAGGUCAAAGAUAACCUAGAACAAAAUUUAAGUGCUAUAGAUAAGAACUGUAUUUCAAACAUCAUAGAUUUUAAGGAAGUACAAUGCGAACUUGAAAAAUUAGAAAACGCUGAUGAAUUUGUUCAAGAAAUAGUUGUAUUUAAAAACUUCAAAGAUGUAAUAACUCAUGACUGUAGUAAAGUAAAAAUAAAACAAAAAGGAACAUUCUUGAUCAAAUUUGAGAACUGCAAGAUAAAUGCAUUAAAUAAAACUUAUACCAAUGUCAACCUAAAGAUAUAUGACACACUUGCUUUACCUAACUUAUUACAAAAAUAAACGAAAGUAAUAAUACAAAACUAAAUUUGAAAAUUUAUACCUAAAACAACUACAGCAGGAGAAUAACAUAAAAAUAUUAGUCGGUAAUAGUAGAAAUACACAUGUAAUUAGUCUAAGCACAGAUAUGGCAAUUAUAAUUCUCUUCAUCAUAGCAUUUGUUUAUAAAUUAACAUAAGCGGAAAUGGUACAUAGUAUCAAAGCCACAAAUAAUGUCCCAAAUGAGAAAAACGGACCAUUUCUACAAAUUUCAACACCCCAAUUAAAUUAACUAUAAAAUCGAUUGAGGACAAAGAGUUAAUGCAAACAAUUAUUAAAACCAAAAUAAAUACAAAAAGCAAUACAGCAAUUGUCAAGCUAUGCCAAUGUUUAUGAAAAGACUUUGCAACUAAUUUAGCUUUAGAACUAAGUAAUGAAAUGUAAAAAGAAUAUAAAACUACGAAAAAUUGUAAGUGACGGCAGUUUUAUUUGGAUAACAAUAAAGAGCGGUCACACUGACCAAGAAAAGAAA